rnacentral:rRNA from 1 species
AUCGAGUGGACGGACUUGGAAACUGCUCCCUCAGUCCGAACGUUAUAACCGGUAACCUCUGAAGCUGGAAUUCCGGAGCGACUAUCGAUUCUUUUCUCGCAUGAAGAGAAUGAGCGGCCUUAGCGUCGUACAGAUGACCCGGGGCCAUAGCUAGUGGUGAGGUACGCUCACCAGCCACGAUGCGUAGCGACUGAGAGGGUGAUCGCCACAUGGGACUGAGACACGCCCAGACUCUACGGGAGGCAGCAGUAGGGAAUCUUCAGCAUGACGAAAGUCUGACGAGCAACGCCGCGUGAGUGAAGAAGUUCUGACGGAGCAACGCCGCGUGAGUGAAGAAGGUUUUCGGAUCGUAAAGCUCUGUUGUCAGGGAAGAACAAGUACGGAAGUAACUGUCCGUACCUUGACGGUACCUGACCAGAAAGCCACGGCUAACUACGUGCCAGCAGCCGCGGUAAUACGUAGGUGGCAAGCGUUGUCCGGAAUUAUUGGGCGUAAAGCGCGCGCAGGCGGCUUCUUAAGUCUGAUGUGAAAGCCCACGGCUCAACCGUGGAGGGUCAUUGGAAACUGGGAGGCUUGAGUGCAGAAGAGGAGAGCGGAAUUCCACGUGUAGCGGUGAAAUGCGUAGAGAUGUGGAGGAACACCAGUGGCGAAGGCGGCUCUCUGGUCUGUAACUGACGCUGAGGCGCGAAAGCGUGGGGAGCGAACAGGAUUAGAUACCCUGGUAGUCCACGCCGUAAACGAUGAGUGCUAAGUGUUGGAGGGUUUCCGCCCUUCAGUGCUGCAGCUAACGCAUUAAGCACUCCGCCUGGGGAGUACGGCCGCAAGGCUGAAACUCUACGGAAUUGACGGGGGCCCGCACAAGCGGUGGAGCAUGUGGUUUAAUUCGAAGCAACGCGAAGAACCUUACCAGGUCUUGACAUCCCGCUGACCGGUCUGGAGACAGGCCUUUUCCUUCUGGGACAGCGGUGACAGGUGGUGCAUGGUUGUCGUCAGCUCGUGUCGUGGGAUGUUUGGUUAAGUCCCGCCACGAGCGCAACCCUUGUUUUUAGUUGUCAGCAUUCAGUUGGGCACUCUAAGGUGACUGCCGGUGGCAAACCGGAGGAAGGUGGGGAUGACGUCAAAUCAUCAUGCGCCUUAUGACCUGGGCUGACACACGUGCUACAAUGGAUGGUACAAAGGGUUGCAAGAGCUCAAGGUUUAGCCAAUCUCAUAUAACCAUUCUCAGUUCGGAUUGCAGGCUGCAACUCGCCGUGACGAUCGUACGAAGCAACGCGAGAACCUUACCAGUCUUGACAUCCCGCUGACCGUCUGGAGACAGGCUUUUCCUCUGGGACAGCGUGACAAGUGGUGCAUGGUGUCGUCAGCUCCUGUCGUGGGAUGUUUGAUUAAGUCCCCCACAAGGCAACCCUUGUUUUUAUUGUCAGCAUCAGUUGGCCUCUAAGUGACUGCGGGGCAAACCGAAGAAAAUGAUAAAUAAAUCUCAUGGCCUUUGACUGGCUGACACCUGCUCAUGGAUGUCAGGUUGGAGCCAGGUUAGCCAUUCUUAACAUCAGUCGAUGAGUCACUGCCGUGACGAUCGUAC